UCUAUGCGAUAUAUCACGCGUUUUAUGUUAGAAUCCAUCGAACAAGCGUGGAUUUGCAUUAGAAACAAACUAUUAAAGUUUCUAUCGCAUUCCCCGUUCUUAGUUGUUGGAGCGACGUUUCUGGUUAAUUCCGAAAACGAACGAGACUCUAGCCUGCUAAAUAGGCGUACCUUAUGGUAUCUUGAAAGCCCCCGGCCUCGGUCGGCGUGUUUUUACUACCAACGCACAAACAGAUUUUCUUAGAAGGACAGGCGGCUUCUAGCCGCACGAGAUUGAGCAAUAACAGGUCUGUGAUGCCCUUAUAUGUUCUGAGACGCACGGGCGCUACAUUGAAGGAAUCAGCGUGUUCCCUGACCGAAAGGCCCGGGUAACCAACUGAACCUCCUUCGUGCUAGGGAUUGUUGCUUGCAAUUGUUACACAUGAACAAAGAAUUACCAGUAGACACCAGUCAUAAGCUUGCGUUGAUUACGUUCGA
rnacentral:ncRNA from 1 species